GUAGGCUAUUUAUUAGUGAUUCAAUUUCAAAUCUCAUUAUUGGUCUGUUCAGGGAAUCAAAUUCUUCUUGACUGAGUAUUGGAAGGCCAAGUCAGUCUGGUUAAGAACCUUUGUUAAAGAACUAAUGUGGUGAUUUGGAGGAUACAGGACACUGGCCUUUUGAAUUGUUGGAGUUCUUGCGUUGGUUCUUUCUCAUCUCUGCAUGUGGCUAUUGCUCCAACUGCUAGGCUGUCGAAGUAGUCAGGCAGCAGCAGCGUGGUUGUGCUGAAGUCUCAGGUCAGGCAGCCCUGCUCAGUGAGGAGAAGUGAGGAUGGGGGCAUGCAUGGAGAACAGUCCAGCUACUUUUCUAUGAAAUGGGUGCUCUGUCCUGGGGGUCUUGACCAGUCCAUAAUCCUGGGUACUCUCCAGAGCCUGGAGACAGCAAGGGCAAGGGCUGUGAGAAAGCAAAGAGGGCAACCUGCUCCUCCUACUGGGUACUCUGUCCCAGGAAGUUGCAGAGUUGCUACUGGCUUGAUAGUUCCAGGUGGAGGUGGCAGAAGACCCAGGUUGGGAAGACCAACCCAGGGAGGAGAUAUGGGAUCAGGGACCCAUGUAACAAGCAGUCAGGCUGCUUUUUCACAGGGCUGCUGCAGUAUGCUGGCAAUCCACUCUAGUCCCUAGUUACCUCAGAUUUUCUAGUACCUGAAGGCAUCUUCAGUGAAGGCUGCAAAACAGCAAAGAUGGUGGCCUGCCCCUCCAUCUGGGAGCUCCACCCCAGGGAGAUACAGAUCUGUUGCCAGCCUGAACACACUGGCAGUGGUGGCUGGAAACCUCGGUAGGGAGCUCCCACCCAGUGGGAAGGAAGGGGAUGAGGGACCUACUUUAUAGAGCACUCUGGCACUUUUCCGUACAGCAGCCGUGCUGUGCUGGGGGGUCUGCUCCAGCCCCCAGUCACCUUAGACUCUCCAAAGCCUGAAGGUGACAGUGGCUAAAGCUGCAAAACAGAAAAGAUGAUGACCCUCCCUUCCCUUUGGGAGCUCCAUCCCAGUGUUAUGUUCUGGGCAUUCAUCUAUCCUCUCAUCAGCUUUUGAUCUACCACAUCUUGGUUGUUACCUUAGAAUUUUGCAACAUAAAUUUACAAUUAAUCCAAACCUGCUUUCAAAUAACACCAUAUCACCACGUAGGUAAGCCAAGUACCUUAUAAUAACAAAAUAUUACUAGCUUCUCCCUUCUGUCCUUAUAGUAUUGUUACAUUCAUUUCACAUAUGCAUAAGCAUGCAUAUAUAUGUGUAUGUAUAUAUAUAUAUAUACACACAUAUAUGUGUACAUAAUUGAAUACACUAUUGCUAUUAUUAUUAUUGUUUUCUGUUAGAUCAACUAAGGAAAAGAAAAGUUAGUAUUUUACCUUUACUUAUGCAUUUUCUGGUGCUCUUCCUUUAUUUAUGUUGAUCUGAAUUUCUGACCUACAUAAUUUUUUCCCUAUGAAGAACUUCUUUUGCAAGGCAGGUUUACUAAUGAAAAAAAAUCCCUUAAUUUUUAUUUUUCUGAGGAAAUCCUUAUUGCUCCUUUACUUUUGAAGAAUAACCUCACAAGGUGCAGAGCUUUAAGUUGGUGGGUUUUAUCUCUUAACACUUAAAAUAUUUUAUCCCACUCUCUUCUUGCUAUGCAGCAAGCUUGCUUGCUUCCUUGUUUCUCAGGAGAAGUCAGUUGUAGUUCUCUGCUCCUCUAUAGGUGAACUGUUCUUUUCCUCUGGUUUCUCCCAAGAUUUUUUUUCAGCUUUGAUUUUCUAAGUUUUUAUAUGAUAAAUGCCUAGAUGUACUUUUUUGGCAUUUAUUCUUCUUGGUAUUUUCUGAGAUUUCUGGAUCUGUAGUUUGGUGUCUGACAUUAAUUUAGGGAAUUUGUAAUUUUUGCGUCCAUAUUGCUUUAGCUCCUAUCUCUCCUUCUUCUCUUUCCAGCAUUAUCAUUAUGUAUAAGUUACAUCUAUUUAUAGUUAUGCCACAGUUCUUGCACAUUGUGUUCUAUUCUUAGCAUUUUAGUCAUAGUUUAAGUUGUUUUUUUUUUUUAAAUUCCUGGUCUGAUAAUUCCAACAUUCCUGCCAUAUCUGAAUAUUGCUCUGAUGAUUGUCAGGUCGCUUCAAACAGUUCUUUUGCCUUUCAGUGUUUCUUGUUAAUUUUUUUAUUACACCUUGUUGAAAGGUAGAUGUGUUGUGCCAGGUAAAAGAAACUUCUAUAAACAGGCUUAUAGUAAUAAAGUGGUAAGAAGGGAGUGGACAGGAAGUGAUGUAUAGUCCUACUAUUACAUCUCAGUCUUACGGUAAUCCCAUGCCUCUGGACUGCAGACUUUUCUCAGUCUCCCUACUCCCCACAUUAGGUGAGACAAAAUGACUAGAUGGGCUACAGUUGGGUAUUUCCCUACCCUUAGGUAGAUUAAGCUCUGAUAUAAUCCCAGCAGGUUAGGUUCUGGUUAAUUAGUUUCUUUUGAGGGUAGGCCUAAUUAAGAAGAAGAGAAUUCUCUGGUGUGUUUCAAAAUGUUUCCUAUUCCCCUUCCCUUGCCAGAGGCAUGAGGGGAUUUUUCUCCAGUAUUCACUGUUAGGAUCUGGUAGAAUUCCUGGAAAUAAAAGUUGUAAGAGUCUGAGGGUCCCCCUAGAGUUUUUAACUCUCAGACUUGUACAUUCUGAGCCUCCAGCUAUCCAUCAACUACUGUUCAGAUUUUUCUAACCCAGCACUGUUGCUAUGAAGGUUUCUACUAACGGAUUUCUACUCCAGUAAGCUGUGAUUCUCUGUAUGCACCUAUCUCUCCAAUUGUUGGGGCAGUAGAUUUGUCCUGAGACCCCACUUGUCUGAUGGAGCUAAGAAGAGUUUUUAAUGUUUUAGUUUGUUCAGCUUUUUAUCUUUUGCUAGGACUGAGUGAAGACUUCUAAACUCCUUAGGUGCUUGACCAGAAACCAGAAGUCUCUAACUUUAUAAACAUACAUACAUUUGGUUUGGUCUGUUUCUUCCCCCUUUGAAUUUCUUUAUUAAACCUGUCAAAUUUUGUCCAGGCUUCAUGAUUAACCUAAAAAUGCUACCUAAUAUCUGACACUUGAUCUCCCAACUUAGACAUAAUUUGUUUUUAUUUUUAAAUUUAUAUCUACUAUAUUUUAAGGUACUUAUUAAUUUUGACUCCUGUGGGAAGUGUACAUGAAGCUAAGCAUGUAUUUAGAUUAAGUGCUAAUUAGUCAGACUUCCCAGAAAAAGUAGGAUUUGAACUGGUUCUGAAAAAUGAGUCAUAUACUGACCAAAUGGUCUCUGACAAAUAAUUUGACAUUUUUGGUAUUUUGAGAACACUAUAUUCAAAAUGCACUUUUAAAUAAGCUUUCUCUUAUGUGCUUUAUAACUGGGGUUGACAAACUACAG
rnacentral:lncRNA from 1 species